rnacentral:tRNA from 1 species
GCAUCGGUGGUUCAGUGGUAGAAUGCUCGCUUGCCAUGCGGGCGGCGCGGGUUCGAUUUCCGGCCGAUGCA